GGAGGAUUACCCAAGUUUGGUUAAGGGGCUUAUAAUUAUUUAUAAGUAGGUCAAGUUAAGUUGAUGCGGAAGUUCAAAUCUUUCAUCCUCCU
rnacentral:tRNA from 1 species